UAGACCUAGUCUGUUCAUUAUAUACAUAUACAUGAUGUAUUGUUACACCAUGUAGGAGCAGUAUAGACCUAGUCUGUUCAUUAAAUACAUCUACAUGAUGUAUUGUUACACCAUGUAGGAGCAGUAUAGACCGACAGUAGCUGGCUACUUAUUUAGAUUUAGUUUGACCUAAUGAAACUGCCUUAAAUGUGCUGUAGCAAAAUAAAAUGUAUUCGCACUAAUCAAUCAACACAUUCCUGUCUUUGUAUGUCUCAAUAUAAUAGUAUUAUUUAAUGAAAUCCAUUUAAAAUAAUAUUUUCCUCAACUGCGUUUCCCACUCCAGUCAGCAGACGGCGAUUUGCGUCGUUCUGGCGAUGCUGCUAUCGUGACGUAUAAUCUAGUGGACGGGUCUUCAAAAACAACAAGUCAACCAUCUCGGUAGCUUGCUAGCCAACGUAGCCGAAAGAUUCAAGCUGUUUUUACGCUUUCGGUGUAUAUUAGCUGCUGUGUUUUAGACACACUUCUAUCGUAUCUACUUGUUAACCUAUUUAAUUUAAUAUGACGUUAUUUUUUAUUAGUCAGAUAUAGUAGCUGGCUGGUUAAAUUAGCACUAGCUUAGUUGCUAAUGAUAGCUAGCUAGCUAACAUCCCCGAACAUGAGGUCAGUAAGCUUCUCCCCUCCUGCUAAAGAAGAGUUCUGCUGGACGGAGAAAGAAGCUCUGGAGCUGAACAUUGUCGUGAAAGAGGAGAAGGAAGAAGAGGAUGUCACAGUUAAAAAAUAAAUUGAGGGUGAGGCUGUUACAGUGAAAGAGGAAGAAGUGUUCACAGUGAAAGAGGAGGAUGAGAAAGAGGAUGCCGUUUUUGACGUGAAGAAGGAAGGGGAGAUUUCUGUCACAUUGAAAGAUGAAGAGGUGGAGGUAGGAGAUCUGAUUUACAUCAGACAGAGACGUGACUAUUGUGGAUCCUCUGGGGAGCCUCAACAACAUCAUGAAGCUGACGAGGCAGAGAAGAGUCCCUCCCGAUCAGAACACCUCAUGAAACACCAGAGGAGACCCACAGGGAAGAAAUCUCACUGCUGCUCUGACUGUGGGAAAGGUUGCAAAUCUUCAUCAGAACUUAAAAUACAUCAGCGAGUACACACAGGAGAGAAAUCUCACCACUGUUUUGAUUGUGGGAAGAGUUACUUAAGAUCAGAAUCACUAAAAGUACACUUGAGAAUUCACACUGGAGAGAAACCUUAUAGCUGUGAUCAAUGUGGGAAGAGUUUCUCACUCAAGCUGCCUUAUAGUACAUCUGAGAGCACACACCAGAGAGAAACCUUACCACUGCUCUGGCUGCGGAAAGCGUUUUAUUAGUUCAACAGAUUUAAAAUCACACCAGAAAAUACACAGAGUAGAGAAACCUUUUAACUGUACUCAAUGUGGGAAGAGGUUUAAUCACUCAAGCUGGCUGAUAGUACAUCUGAGAGCACACACAGGAGUGAAAUCUUAUAGCUGUAGUCAAUGUGGGAAGAGUUUCUCAGUCAAGCAGCCUGGUAUCACACCAGAGAACACACACAGGAGGGAAAUCUCAUAGCUGUGAUCAAUGUGGGAAGAGAUUUGUUACAUCUAGCCAUCUGACUAUACACCAGAGAACACACACAGGAGAGAAAUCUUAUAGCUGUAGUCAAUGUGGGAAGAGUUUCUCAGUCAAGCAGCCUGGUAUCACACCAGAGAACACACACAGGAGGGAAAUCUCAUAGCUGUGAUCAAUGUCACAAGAAAUACUCUGUUAAAAGAUCUCUGAUCAAACAUCAGAAAAUACAUACAUGAAGUAGUUGUUUCAUGAUAUCAAUGAAAUGUCACAAUGUAGAAUAUUUGAAUGAUGUCACAAUGUAGAAUGUUUUAACAUUGUAGUAGGAAUACAAAGGAUUUGAAUUUGUUAAAAGUCCAUAUUGAUACAGAAACACUAAACCAUGAUUUAGAUGUAUUAAGAACAAGUUGAUUGACAAAGUCAUGAAAAAUGGAAUAAACCACAUUUUGGCUCUGAUAAAAGAUAUGGCUCUGGGGUCAAAAUGAUCCAUGUCAGAACUAUGGUUCAAUGUAAAUAUGUAGUGGGCCUAAAGUUUGUUUUAAAUUAUCACUCAUUAAACACGAAUCAAUCAACACAUGCUUCUCUUUGAACGACUUAAUAUAAUAUUACACUUUUAUGAAAUAAAUGAAAAUAAACUUUUGGUUCCUCAACUGCGUUGCCCACUCCAGUCAGCAGAAAGAGACGCAGCAGAAGUGCCUCUUUUUAUAUUUGAUUUGAUUUAUAUAUUUUUUUAUUCAAAAUGCAGAUCUACAAUUUACAUUGUUACAUCAUACAAAACAGAACACAGGUAUUAACGAGAAAAUACUAAAACAGACAAAACAUAUAAAUAAUUAACUAUUCUAGUGUAGUUGUAAUCACUCUGAAAAAAUCUAUAAUGAUUCAGGAAGAUGUUAUUGUUGUUGUUAUUCACUAGGAUUAAUGUUUUAAUAAAAUAGUUACAUUCAAUCAGAAAAAAUGUGUAAUUCUGGUAGAGAAUCUUGGAAUUUUUGUUUGUGUAUAAAGUAUUUGGCAACAAGAAUAAAAAAAAUUAACAAUCA